rnacentral:tRNA from 1 species
GGGCCGUUGGCUCAACCGGCAGAGCAGGGGCCUCUUAAGCCCAAGGUUGCAGGUUCAAGUCCUGCACGGCCCA